rnacentral:tRNA from 1 species
UCCUUGGUAGCUCAAUGGUAGAGCGUCCGGCUGUUAACCGGGAUGUUGCAGGUUCGAGUCCUGUCCUUGGAG